UACAGAGGGUGCGAGCGUUGUCCGGAAUUACUGGGCGUAAAGGGCGCGUAGGCGGCUUGGUAAGUCGGGGGUGAAAGUCAGCGGCUCAACCGCUGGACUGCCUUCGAGACUGCCUGGCUUGAGCAUGGUAGAGGCUGGCGGAAUUCCCGGUAUAGCGGUGGAAUGCGUAGAGAUCGGGAAGAACAUCGGUGGCGAAGGCGGCCAGCUGGGCCAUUGCUGACGCUGAUGCGCGACAGCGUGGGGAGCAAACAGG
rnacentral:rRNA from 1 species